rnacentral:misc_RNA from 1 species
GAACGCAUAUUGCGCUCUUUGGUAUUCCGAAGAGCAUGCUUGUUUGAGUAUCAGUAAACACCUCAACCCUCUAAUGUUUUUGCAUUGAAGGCGUUGGUAGUGAGCGCUGCCGGUCUUUGGGUCGGCUCGCUUUAAAAUAAUUAGCUGGAUCCAUUCUGACCUGGUUCUACUCGGCGUAAUAAGUUAUUAUCGUCGAGGACGCCUAGCCUUCUAGGCAGGCGGCCACAGUAAGGGUGUUUGAACCGCUUCCAACACGUCUUGCUCUUGUAGCAAACACUUGAACCUCUGACCUCAAAUCAGGCAGGACUACCCGCUGAACUUAAG